rnacentral:rRNA from 1 species
UAUUGCACAAUGGGCGCAAGCCUGAUGCAGCCAUGCCGCGUGUGUGAAGAAGGCCUUCGGGUUGUAAAGCACUUUCAGCGAGGAGAAAGGGUUCAGUGUUAAUAGCACUGUUCAUUGACGUUACUCGCAGAAGAAGCACCGGCUAACUCCGUGCCAGCAGCCGCGGUAAUACGGAGGGUGCAAGCGUUAAUCGGAAUUACUGGGCGUAAAGCGCACGCAGGCGGUUUGUUAAGUCAGAUGUGAAAUCCCCGCGCUUAACGUGGGAACUGCAUUUGAAACUGGCAAGCUAGAGUCUUGUAGAGGGGGGUAGAAUUCCAGGUGUAGCGGUGAAAUGCGUAGAGAUCUGGAGGAAUACCGGUGGCGAAGGCGGCCCCCUGGACAAAGACUGACGCUCAGUCGAAA